rnacentral:misc_RNA from 1 species
AGGAUGUGCCAGGACAAACGGUUGGAGAUGCAUUGUUCUGUUUCAAUAAUAAGAUUUACAAUGGCUGCGAUGAGGCAUUUGGAUUAACCCUGAGUAGGAAUAUUAAUGUUCCACCAGAAGCAACUGAUGUCUUCUGUAACGGACCUUGCCUAACUCAGACACAAGCAAUCCUUAAUUGUAUUGACAGUGUUUUAUCAGAUUUCUUGUUCUACAAUGGAGCCACGGUACGAGACAUCAGAAAUAUCCUUCGUACUGGCUGCAGCUACGCUAGCGUAAGAGGGAACUUCAAU